ensembl:lncRNA
AGCAUAUCUAACCAUGAGGGCACUCUCGGUCCUUCUGUGGCUCUGAACAUCUGACUUUCCUUACCUCUGUUCUAAUUGUGACAAGAAAGCUGCAGAGCGUGAGGUUGUGAUAAGCACUGGUGUGUACUGCUAUCGUGUGGAUGUCAUGAUGUGUAAGCAAAGAAAUGUAGCAACAAGCAACUAACCCAUGUGGGCUGCCACCCUCCUCACGUUGCCUGCUGAGCAUGGGCAAAGCACGCCUUUGCGAGGGGAUCGGCCCUGUCACACAGAAUUUGCUGAUGCUGCAGCAUUUCCCUGCAGAGAGCUGGUCGAGGACACAGUGCUGAGAAACAAUGGCAUCGUGCCAGGGCGAGUGUCCCAGACUUGUUGCAGGGGGUGAGAAUCCUGAUGGAGGAGGGAGCAGCAUGGGAGGAACAGCCAAAACAUCAAAUGCUGAUGGCCUUAUUUUGGUCGAUAUCCCACUGAAGUCAAUGGGAUAUCACUCCAGGAAAAAACUGGAUAAGGAUCUCGGGACUUGGCAGCAGAGGAGGAUCUGUCUUCUAGCUGUUUACUCCCCUGUCCAAGCCUGCUGUUGGUGACUUCAUGAUCGUUUCCAGAGCCUGCCGUCAUGAUGUCAUACCCGGGGGACUCUGGAUUCAGCUGUUGUAGGUGGAUUGUCGACAAUGGUUGUUAUGCAAACUCUGAGCACUGGCUUCAGGAGCUUCUUGGAAACCUGCAAUGAGUAAUCUUCAUGUUUCUGCCAGGUCUACAAAGAGGGAGGGUGCAGUUUUGCCACAGGGCUGUUCAGAUUUUUUUCCUCCUCUCCUUUUCCAUAUGGGUAAGAAUAAAGUGAAGAAACAACAUUUUCAGAGAAGAAAGACUUGGAAAGAGUUUCUGUUUUCUGGGAGUCUGCUACAGCUGUUAAUUUGUGGAAAACCUCAGUGGAAAUUGUUGGCGGGUGAGUCCGAGACGGGCCGAGAUGUUGUUUGGGAAAAAGAAAAGACUCCCUCCCUUCCUCCCUGCCUUCUCCACAGAAAUGCACACAGACCAUAACUUCCAUCCAAAAAUGCAGGAAUGCUGAGAAAAAUUGGAGCUGGACUCGAACAUUGCGGGCUGGGCUCCCCCACUCCCCGGCCUCUCCAAAGCACGCACGCUCUUCUCUUCCUGUAGACUUUGUUCCUCUCCAGCAUUUGUCAUGCAUAGUUGGUGGCACAUCAAGAUUUUGAAUACUGUACUGAAUGCAACAACCUCUUUUUUUCUUGGAUGGACAUUUUGUUUGCGGGGAAUACAGCAUGGUGCUCAGCUGUCUGGACAGAAAUGAACAUUGAAUGAAAUGAAAUUUUCAGCUAUGUGACAGCUAUUAGAUCAGAGAUUAGUUUUCCAGUAGAAAUGUCCAAUUAUUUAAACCUCUCCGGUAGAUGAAAGAGCUUUUGACAAUCUGUUUUGCUGAAAAGCCCUGCAAUUCGUUUGGCAUAGAUUAGAUGACCUAUUAGAGAUGAGAAAAAGGGAAAAGGAUUUAUAAUUAAUGUCAGCCCAGCUGUUAACUUGGGGAGUAUUGCUGAGUUGUAGCACAAGACGUAUCUUUCAGCUAUUUCUGCAGUGACGAUUCAUGUGUAUAUUGCAACAUGUGUCAGCAGCCUUCUGUACAGCUGUGCUGGGUUGAAGGGACUAGAGUUCCCCAUUCCUAGGUAACGCAUUAGCAUGCACUGCUGCUUCUCCAAGGCCCUGCCUCCUUUUUGAAAGCAGGCUAUUAUGAAUGGGUAAGCCCCAUGUUUUUCCAGUGCUACCUUGUCACACAAUGACUGAUCCGCUCACCUCCGUAUCUCUGGGCUAUAUGACUUUGAGUGUAUCUUCCUUGCCAACUUGGCAAGGUAUCGUGUUUCUUUCCCUGAGGGUGACUUAGGGCAGAAUCCUUGAAUCCUUCAGAGUUUCCUGGAGCAUCUGGAAAGAAGAGGAAAACCAGAGAUGGGCCAGAAAGAGGCAGGCAGAGAAAGAUGAAAGAAUUUGGGGGUGGGAAGUACUUGCUUUUGGAAUAAUCUUCCUCCUAGAUGGCCUAAGGCAAAGUAAUUUACACUUUUUGGUAACGUGCAGGAUGGCCCAGCCCUUGCUCUUAUGAGUAAACAUUUCAAAGGUGCCUGCAGGGCCCUCUAUUUAUGUUUUUAUAAGCUACUUAGUCUCCUUUGAGUCUCGGGCUAUAUCCUCACUGCCAAUAGUGGAGUUAGCUCGAAGUGUAGUAGUGUCUUUUGGAGACACCUGAGCUAGACUGAAGCAGCUCAGCUGCGAGAAGUAGUUUACUCCACAGCAGCGCAUAUGUCAAAGCACUGUACCUGCCCGACGCAUUAUCUUGUCCUGUGCCAACUCUUGUUUCAAGUAAGGCUUUCACUGCAACCCUGCCUUCUCUGCAGCUGCCCACUGAAGCUCAAGGACAUAAAACAGUCACAGUAGGGUAUGGGGUUGGGAGCUGGAGUCACUUUGGUGCUUUCGAAAACGUUUUUUAUGGCUAAACCCACAUUCCCUGUUAGCACUGUUAAAUGCUUUCCUGUUUUCCUCUUCCCCUUGAACUCACACUGCUGUUCUAACCGAGAAUCGUGUUUUGUUUCUAAUGACAGAGCAAAGGUGCCAAAAUAUUUCAGUAGCUCCCCUAGGAACAUCUGCAACUUCUUUAGCUAUUUUCACAGCUGGCCAUAACUUUAUAUUAUUUCUGAAUGCUCAUAGCACCAAAUCUGGGAUCCUGGAGGAGAACAAUGGCUAAUUUCCUUGUAUUGGAAUUUAGAAUUUGCAAAACGAUGCACUAGCAACUUUGAAUAAAUGCUGAGAGACAGAGCUAUGAGGGAUUUUGUCAUUUGGAAGGCAAAGUUGCUAAACUCCAAACAGAGCUUAGACUGAUCUUCUGACACAGGGUAAAGCUGGGGUUGGGUGAGGUCAAAACCUGUAGAAAUUUCAACUGAUAUCACAACUACUGCUGAUAUUCAUGCUGCCCAUGUAGAAGAAGCUCCAUUGGAUCACUGCCUCCACUAUGGUUGCUGUCAUCUUUGAUGGAAAUAAGAAGAGUACAUUCUUACAGCUCUAAUGUGAGACUGAGUUCUUGGGACUGGAAUUAAGUCUGGGGGUUCGAACUUCCACUCAGUAAAAUUCCUGUGGACCUUUAAUUGCCGCUCUGAUUUAUUAGUUGUGCUUAGCUGGUCUAAAAGUGAAAACAAUCUCAAGGUAUUUAAU